rnacentral:rRNA from 1 species
CCUACGGGCGGCAGCAGUGAGGAAUAUUGGUCAAUGGGCGUAAGCCUGAACCAGCCAAGUCGCGUGAAGGAUGACGGCCCUACGGGUUGUAAACUUCUUUUGUCGGGGAGCAAUUGAGUCCACGUGUGGGCUUAGCGAGAGUACCUGAAGAAAAAGCAUCGGCUAACUCCGUGCCAGCAGCCGCGGUAAUACGGGGGAUGCGAGCGUUAGCCGGAUUUAUGGGGUUUAAAGGGUGCGUAGGCGGAAUAUCAAGUCAGCGGUAAAAAUUCGGGGCUCAACCCCGUCGUGCCGUUGAAACUGAUGGUCUUGAGUGGGCGAGAAGUAUGCGGAAUGCGUGGUGUAGCGGUGAAAUGCAUAGAUAUCACGCAGAACUCCGAUUGCGAAGGCAGCAUACCGGCGCUCAACUGACGCUCAUGCACGAAAGCGUGGGUAUCGAACAGGAUUAGAUACCCGAGUAGUC